AUGCAUAAGCUCGUAAAUGUUCAUUAUUUGGACAAGACAACAUUUAUGCUUGGAAAUGACGAUGAAGGGGAAGAGGCUAUGGUUUUUGACACAAGUCCAAGCUUUGAUGAUCUUGUAGUUAAAGUGAGAAGCGUGUUACAUUGGAAUGACCCAAAUGCCAAGGUUAAGCUUAUUGGAAGGUAUGAUGUUGGAUUGGGAGUAAAGUCCCGAUUAAAUAGUAUGCCCAUCACCUCCCAAUUGCAUUGGAAUGUAUACAAGGAAAAAGUAGACGCAUCAGAAGACAAGUCUCUUGAGAUCUUUCCCACAAAGGUUGAUCCUCCUCCUCCCUUGCAAAUUGACCUCAACCGUAAUGUAUCCUCCCCAAUAAAUGAUGAUAGUGCCGAGGUGUAUAUCCCCAAUUGUUCUAGCCAACCC
rnacentral:rRNA from 1 species